rnacentral:rRNA from 1 species
UACGUAGGGUGCAAGCGUUAAUCGGAAUUACUGGGCGUAAAGCGUGCGCAGGCGGCUUUGCAAGACAGAUGUGAAAUCCCCGGGCUUAACCUGGGAACUGCAGUUGUGACUGCAAGGCUAGAGUGCGGCAGAGGGGGAUGGAAUUCCGCGUGUAGCAGUGAAAUGCGUAGAUAUGCGGAGGAACACCGAUGGCGAAGGCUAUCCCCUGGGCCUGCACUGACGCUCAUGCACGAAAGCGUGGGGAGCAAACAGG